GCCUGUGUGGUUCAGUUGGUUAAACAUCUGACUUUGGUUCAGGUCAUGAUCUCACUGUUCGUGGGUUUGAGCCCUGCAUCAGGCC
rnacentral:tRNA from 1 species